rnacentral:antisense_RNA from 1 species
ACUAAAAAUACAAAAAAUUAGCCAGGCAAAAGGCAGGAGCCUGUAAUUCCAG